rnacentral:rRNA from 1 species
UCCGUGCCAGCAGCCGCGGUAAUACGGAGGGUGCGAGCGUUAAUCGGAAUUACUGGGCGUAAAGCGUACGCAGGCGGUUUGUUAAGCGAGAUGUGAAAGCCCCGGGCUCAACCUGGGAACUGCAUUUCGAACUGGCAAACUAGAGUAUGAUAGAGGGUGGUAGAAUUUCAGGUGUAGCGGUGAAAUGCGUAGAGAUCUGAAGGAAUACCGAUGGCGAAGGCAGCCACCUGGGUCAAUACUGACGCUCAUGUACGAAAGCGUGGGGAGCAAACGGGAUUAGAUACCCUGGUAG